rnacentral:rRNA from 1 species
UACAGGGGGUGCAAGCGUUAUUCGGAAUUACUGGGCGUAAAGCGCGUGUAGGUGGUUUAGUCAGUCUGAUGUGAAAUCCCCGGGCUCAAUCCGGGAAGUGCAUUAGAUACUACUAGACUAGAGUGCAGGAGAGGUAAGCGGAAUUCCUGGUGUAGAGGUGAAAUUCGUAGAUAUCAGGAGGAACAACAGUGGCGAAGGCGGCUUACUGGACUGCAACUGACGCUAAGGCGCGAAAGUGUGGGGAGCAAACAGG